GUCUUAUACUGCUAUCUCAUUUCAGGCGACUUUUCCCCCUCUUCUUCCGGUGGAUGCAUGCAGAUGAUGACAGAACUGUUCUACUGGUUCUUGAACGGAUCAAGACAAUUGUAAAGUUGACAUGGAUAAGGAAUUCUCCAUACAUUGAAAGGUUGGUGGAUGAACUUGUUAGUCUAUUCAAGGAAGCAGCGCUGAAAAUUGCACGUGAAGAAAUCAGAAAACUUGUUCUUCAGACUAUAAUUUUGAUCCAACA
rnacentral:misc_RNA from 1 species